rnacentral:rRNA from 1 species
AAGUCGAACGGACGAUCGGGCUUGCUCGAUCGUUAGUGGCGGACGGCUGAGUAACGCGUGGGUGACCUGCCCCGAAGUGGGGAAUAACUGCCCGAAAGGGUGGCUAAUACCGCAUGUGGUGACUGGUUCAUUCCAGUCUCCAAAGCCGCAAGGCGCUUCGGGAGGGGCCUGCGUCCGAUUAGCUCGUUGGUGGGGUAACGGCUCACCAAGGCGACGAUCGGUAGGUGGUCUGAGAGGACGAUCACCCAGACUGGGACUGAGACACGGCCCAGACUCCUACGGGAGGCAGCAGUCGGGAAUUUUGCUCAAUGGGCGAAAGCCUGAAGCAGCAACGCCGCGUGAGGGAUGACGGCCUUCGGGUUGUAAACCUCUUUUCUCAGGGACGAUAAUGACGGUACCUGAGGAAUAAGCCACGGCUAACUACGUGCCAGCAGCCGCGGUAAUACGUAGGUGGCGAGCGUUAUCCGGAUUUACUGGGCGUAAAGAGCGCGCAGGCGGUCGUGCAAGUCGGAUGUGAAAGCCCCCGGCUCAACUGGGGAAAGUCAUUCGAUACUGCUCGACUUGAAGGCGGGAGAGGGAAGCGGAAUUCCCGGUGUAGUGGUGAAAUACGUAGAUAUCGGGAGGAACACCAGUGGCGAAGGCGGCUUCCUGGCCCGUUCUUGACGCUGAGGCGCGAAAGCUAGGGGAGCAAACGGGAUUAGAUACCCUGGUAGUCC